rnacentral:lncRNA from 1 species
UUGCAGGGAGCCGAGAUCGCGCCAGUGCACUCCAGCCCAGGCGAGGGAGCGAGACUCCAUCAAAAAUAAAUAAAUAAAUAAAUAAGCCAAAAGAUACACUCCUGAAAGAGGUUACUCCUACGUUAAAAUGUGAAAGGUUUCAAGGUACCCCGGAGUGUGAGGAGGGUGGAGAGAACAGGCCAGCCUGGGGUGCCCAAGACGGACUUGGUCCAAGCCAAUUUGGCUCUGUCCUGCUUCUAACAGUUCUAUUAGAGAUCACAAGGAGGAAGAGUAAGAAGAACAGCAGCGUUCAAUACAAUGUGCCAAUUGCUCCGGGGCGAGGUGGCGGUUAGGAAGCUCGCCCAUGAAGACGGCGGCGAAACGAACUCCCCUCUCCUCUCGGGCCUAUUCUGCAGUCUCCUCUGAGCGCCUGGGACCCCCCACCCCAGUGAACAUGCACAGCGCGCCACAGUUCACGUCCGCGAAUAUAACCCAACCCCACUGUCGGCCAUGCUUCCCAGGUACUUUUUUUUUUUUUUUUUGAGGUGGAGUCCCGCUCUGUCGCCCAGGCUGGAGUGCGGUGGCGAGAUCUCGGGUCACUGCAACCUCCGCCUCCCGGGUUCAAGCAAUUCUCCUGUCUCAGCCUCCCGAGUAGCUGAGGCAGGAGAAUCAUUUGAACCCGGGAGGCAGAGGUUGCAUGAGCUGAGAUCACACUACUGCACUCCAGCCUGGGGGACAGAGCGGGACUGCCUCAAAAAAAAAAAAAA